GCCGGCCUAGCUCAAUUGGUAGGGCAACUGACUUGUAAUCAGUAGGUUGGGGGUUCAAGUCCUCUGGCCGGCACCA
rnacentral:tRNA from 1 species